rnacentral:snoRNA from 1 species
CGGCAUAUAUGUAGACCUUGCCUGGCUCUCUUUAUGGUCAGCCAAGGGGGACAGUAUAUGCUAGAGUGGUGUGGAGUUCCUGCCAGCUCUAACCAGCUGAAUCAGUGGCUGGGUAAAUCGCAGGGCUCCAACAUUC